rnacentral:rRNA from 1 species
CCUACGGGUGGCUGCAGUGGGGAAUAUUGGACAAUGGGCGCAAGCCUGAUCCAGCCAUGCCGCGUGAGUGAUGAAGGCCCUAGGGUUGUAAAGCUCUUUCACCGGUGAAGAUAAUGACGGUAACCGGAGAAGAAGCCCCGGCUAACUUCGUGCCAGCAGCCGCGGUAAUACGAAGGGGGCUAGCGUUGUUCGGAAUUACUGGGCGUAAAGCGCACGUAGGCGGAUAUUUAAGUUAGGGGUGAAAUCCCAGGGCUCAACCCUGGAACUGCCUCUAAUACUGGGUAUCUCGAGUCCGAGAGAGGUGAGUGGAAUUCCGAGUGUAGAGGGGAAAUUCGUAGAUAUUCGGAGGAACACCAGUGGCGAAGGCGGCUCACUGGCUCGGUACUGACGCUGAGGUGCGAAAGCGUGGGGAGCAAACAGGAUUAGAUACCCCUGUAGUC